rnacentral:rRNA from 1 species
UUGAACUCGGCAAAAUGCCCCCGUAACUUCGGGAGAAGGGGGGCCGGAUGCGUUACAUGGCUUGCCCAUGGAAGCGUUGAUGGCCGCAGAGACCAGGCCCAAGCGACUGUUUACUAAAAACACAGGUCCGUGCGAAGAAGUAAUUCGAUGUAUACGGACUGACGCCUGCCCGGUGCUGGAACGUUAAGGGGACAGGUUAGCUAGUUUAGGCCGGCGAAGCUUUGAACUUAAGCGCCAGUAAACGGCGGUGGUAACUAUAACCAUCCUAAGGUAGCGAAAUUCCUUGUCGGGUAAGUUCCGACCUGCACGAAUGGCGUAACGACUUGGGCGCUGUCUCAACCAUGGACUCGGCGAAAUUGCAUUACGAGUAAAGAUGCUCGUUACGCGCAGCAGGACGGAAAGACCCCGGGACCUUUACUACAACUUGGUAUUGGUGGUCGGUACAACUUGUGUAGGAUAGGUGGGAGACUGUGAAAUCCGGACGCCAGUUCGGGUGGAGUCAUCGUUGAAAUACCACUCUGGUUGUUCUGGCUGUCUAACUUCGGUCCAUUAUCUGGAUCAGGGACAGUGCCUGGUGGGUAGUUUGACUGGGGCGGUCGCCUCCUAAAAGGUAACGGAGGCGCUCAAAGGUUCCCUCAGCCUGGUUGGCAAUCAGGUGUCGGGUGUAAGUGCACAAGGGAGCUUGACUGUGAGACAGACAUGUCGAGCAGGGACGAAAGUCGGAACUAGUGAUCCGGCGGUGGCAUGUGGGAGCACCGUCGCUCAACGGAUAAAAGGUACCCCGGGGAUAACAGGCUGAUCUUCCCCAAGAGUCCAUAUCGACGGGAUGGUUUGGCACCUCGAUGUCGGCUCGUCGCAUCCUGGGGCUGGAGUAGGUCCCAAGGGUUGGGCUGUUCGCCCAUUAAAGCGGCACGCGAGCUGGGUUUAGAACGUCGUGAGACAGUUCGGUCCCUAUCCGCUGCGCGCGCAGGAGACUUGAGAAGGGCUGCCCCUAGUACGAGAGGACCGGGGUGGACGAACCUCUGGUGUGCCAGUUGUUCCGCCAGGAGCACGGCUGGUUGGCUACGUUCGGGAGUGAUAACCGCUGAAAGCAUCUAAGCGGGAAGCACGCUUCAAGAUGAGGUCUCCCACCGAGUUAAUCGGGUAAGGCCCCCAGUAGACCACUGGGUUGAUAGGCCAGAGGUGGAAGCGCCGUAAGGUGUGGAGCUGACUGGUACUAAUAGGCCGAGGGCUUGUCCC